UACAGAGGGGGCAAGCGUUAUUCGGAAUUAUUGGGCGUAAAGGGCGCGUAGGCGGCUUUUCAAGUGACGGGUGAAAUCCCCCGGCUUAACCUGGGAACUGCGUCUGAUACUGGAGGCUUGAGGAUGGGAGAGGGAUGUAGAAUUCCAGGUGUAGCGGUGAAAUGCGUAGAUAUCUGGAGGAAUACCGGUGGCGAAGGCGGCAUCCUGGACCAUUACUGACGCUGAGGCGCGAAAGCUAGGGGAGCAAACGGGG
rnacentral:rRNA from 1 species